GCAAGUCUGGUGCCAGCAGCCGCGGUAAUUCCAGCUCCAAUAGCGUAUAUUAAAGUUGUUGCAGUUAAAAAGCCCGUAGUUGAACUUUGGGCCUGGUUGGCCGGUCUGGCUUUUUGCCACGUACUGGAAUGCAACCGGGCCUUUCCUUCUGGCUAACCUUAGGCUCCUUGUGGGUCUUUGGCGAACCAGGACUUUUACUUUGAAAAAAUUAGAGUGUUCAAAGCAGGCCUUUGCUCGAAUAUAUUAGCAUGGAAUAAUAGAAUAGGACGUUAUGGUUCUAUUUUGUUGGUUUCUAGGACCAUCGUAAUGAUUAAUAGGGACGGUCGGGGGCAUCAGUAUUCAGUUGUCAGAGGUGAAAUUCUUGGAUUACCUGAAGACUAACUACUGCGAAAGCAUUUGCCAAA
rnacentral:rRNA from 2 species